UCCGAAUUUAGAACAUCUAGUGAAUAUGUAAAACUUAUACUUUUAUAUAGCGGUUUAUACUACUAUAUAUUAGUAUACAAAGAAAUUAUUAGGGACAUUUAGCUGUACAUUAAAGAGAGGUUAAGUUUGCGAAAGAAAGCAUACGACUCUAAGAGAAAUCCAAUAUUUAAACUAAGCGAAUUGAAAUAUCUUAGUAGCUUAAGGAAAAGAAAUCAAAUGAGAUUCUAAGAAUAGCGAGAGUGAAAUUAGAAAAGUCUGAAAGUAAAAUGGUAAAUAGACUGUUUGAAUACAUGGGGAACCUUCCUCAAAGACUAAAUAUAAUGUACAAGCGAUAGUGAAUAGUACCAAGAGGGAAAAAUGUGAAAUAGUAAUUUUAUAAGCAGUUCGAAUAGAACGUACCUUUUGCAUAAUGGGUCACCAAGUUAACAUUAGAUGCAAGAAAAUGCGUAGUUAAACCGGACGUUAAAAUAACGAAAAGAGUAUCUAAAGUUAGACCCGAAACCUGGUGAUUUUACCAUAAUCAGGAUUAUAAAAGUCCGAACGGGUUAUUGUAGCAUAAAUAUCCGAAGAAUUAUGGUAGGUGUAGUGAAAGACAAUACUGACCAGGAGAUAGCUGGUUUUCUGCGAAACCUAUAAUAGUAGGCAAUUUAAGUAAAUAUCUUAGCAGGUACAGAAUUUAAUCUCAGGCAAACAAUUGCGCAUAUGGGGGGAUCGUGAAGAUUUUACCCGUGAGUAUGUAGACUCGGAAUGGCAAAGAUAAAACUUGAAUGAUCAGACAUAGAAUGAUAAGGUUGUAUGUCAAAAGGGAAACAGCCCAGAACAAGAGUUAAGGUUCCUAAAUUAUUAGUUAAGUGAAAUGAAGAAUGUAUUUAUUAAAGUCGACAAGGAGAUAGGCUUAGAAGCAGCCACAAUUUAAUGAACUCGUAACAGAGCACUUGUUAAUUUAUAAGUAGCGUCGAUAAUUUAACGGAUCUAAACAAUAUACCGAAACCUUGUCCAUACCAAGUUAUAAAAAUUAUAAUAGUAUGGGGUAGCAGAACGUUGAAUUAAACAUUGACUUUUAUUUUUCAAAUAAAAUUAUUAGUUAAUUCAAGUGAUAAUGGUGACAUGAGUAACUAAAAGAAAUAAAAUUUUCCGCCUAAAGCUUAUGGCUAGAAACACACUUAAGUGCGGCCUCUAAGUUUUGAAUCUAAAGAUUAAAACGAUGAGAAAAACUUAUUUAUUUAUAACAACAUUUUAAGUGGAAAAUGUGCUGGAAAAAUAAAUAUAUUAACAUAACCGUACCUAGAGCCUGACACAAGUAAGCAAGUAGAGAAUACGAAGGCGAGAGAGCUAACAAUCAUAAAGGAACUCGGCAAAUUGACUACUGUAACUUCGGGAUAAGGAGAGCUCAUACUUCUUGGUUAAUAUCAAGUAAAAGGGAAGAAGCAUGAAAUAAUGUUGUACGACUGUUUAAUUAAAACACAGCACUUUGCUGAAAGAUAAAAAAAUCUAUGUAUAAAGUGUGAAAUCUGCCCGGUGCCGGCUGGUUAAUAGAGAUAAUUGAAUGAUCUAACAUUUGAUGUUGACAGAAACCCCGGUUAAAGGCGGCCUUAACGUGAGGGUCCUAAGGUAGCGAAAUGCCUUGGCCGUUAAAUGCGGUCUUGCAUGAAUGGUGUAACGAUACAACAACUGUCUCUAUGAUUGACUCUGUGAAAUUGGAAUAGCUGUGCAGAUACAGCUUACCUCUAGUUAGACGAGAAGACCCUAUGCAGCUUUACUGUCACUAAUAAUAGAAUACGAUUAACAUCUUUCAGACUAGAAGGCUAAUAGAUAUAUAUAAAUAUGAGAAUCCUUUAAUUGUUUUUUGUACGAAUGAGAUGGUUUAAGUUUAAGACGAUGAGAUGUUUUGCAUCUUUGACUACUUAUUUCCUUAAAUUCACCUAGUCUCUACCUAAUUUAGGUGUCCUUUGUGAAGGGAAGAUUACUAGGAGACAGUUUAUGUGGGGCACAGACCCUGUAAAGAGUAAACAGGAGUGUCUAAUAAAAUUAGAAUUUUGUUUGCAAUUUUAAAUAUUAUAACUAUUUGUUAUCGUAAUACUUACUUAUCUAUGUAUAUUUUAUAUGCAUAUAUAAUUAAAAGAAAUUUAUGAAGGUAGGAUUUUCACUAGUCAGAAAUUAGAUGUAAUUUAAAAGAUUAUGAGUUUUCUCUAAUCUUUUAUAGCUAUUGUUAGUUAUAUGCUAAUAAUAGUAAUGUAUUAUACUUACAAAGCUCAACGGCUAAAUCCUGCCUUACUGUUUGAUUAUCUACAAAUCUUACAGUUGCGUAAGCAGGGCAUAGGAUCACAAGAUACAAUAAGGAAAGAUCUUGGAUUAUUGGAAAAGCUACGCUAGGGAUGUUUGUCCUUUAAUAUUUUUAUACAUUGUCUAUAAAAAUAAUUGGUAUAUAAA
rnacentral:rRNA from 1 species